UGGAGAGUUUGAUCCUGGCUCAGAUUGAACGCUGGCGGCAGGCCUAACACAUGCAAGUCGAGCGGUAGAGAGGUGCUUGCACCUCUUGAGAGCGGCGGACGGGUGAGUAAUGCCUAGGAAUCUGCCUGGUAGUGGGGGAUAACGUUCGGAAACGAACGCUAAUACCGCAUACGUCCUACGGGAGAAAGCAGGGGACCUUCGGGCCUUGCGCUAUCAGAUGAGCCUAGGUCGGAUUAGCUAGUUGGUGAGGUAAUGGCUCACCAAGGCGACGAUCCGUAACUGGUCUGAGAGGAUGAUCAGUCACACUGGAACUGAGACACGGUCCAGACUCCUACGGGAGGCAGCAGUGGGGAAUAUUGGACAAUGGGCGAAAGCCUGAUCCAGCCAUGCCGCGUGUGUGAAGAAGGUCUUCGGAUUGUAAAGCACUUUAAGUUGGGAGGAAGGGUUGUAGAUUAAUACUCUGCAAUUUUGACGUUACCGACAGAAUAAGCACCGGCUAACUCUGUGCCAGCAGCCGCGGUA
rnacentral:rRNA from 1 species